rnacentral:ncRNA from 1 species
CUCCGGGUGUGGGCUAAUAGAAUACGCGCAAGCGGAAUAUGCCCGCCGUCCAGCGACGGUUGUUAGCACCCGGAGUUUUUGCG